rnacentral:snoRNA from 1 species
AAGACUAUGUUUUCCAGGAUCAUUUCUGUAGUUUGUUGCUAGUUUCUAUGAAGGUGUAAAGUACCAAAACCACCAGGAGUAUGCACAACAUUCUUUUCUGAGCAUGAAGGUGGCUCUUAGUGUUGCUUCACUGCAUCUACCAUUUGCCAUUGAUGAUCUCUCUUCUCUUUCUUUGGUAGAGUAGGAGGAAGAGGAUGCAGGCUACCUGGG